rnacentral:rRNA from 1 species
AUUGAACGCUGGCGGCAGGCCUAACACAUGCAAGUCGAACGAGUGGCGGACGGGUGAGUAAUGUCUGGGAAACUGCCUGAUGGAGGGGGAUAACUACUGGAAACGGUAGCUAAUACCGCAUACCAUCAGAUGUGCCCAGAUGGGAUUAGCGUGUUGGGGGGGUAACGGCCAACAAGGGAGACGAUCCCUAGCUGGUCGGAGAGGAUGACCAGCCACACUGGAACUGUGACACGUGCCAUACUCCUACGGGAGGCAGCAGUGGGGAAUAUUGCACAAUGGGCGCAAGCCUGAUGCAGCCAUGCCGCGUGUAUGAAGAAGGCCUUCGGGUUGUAAAGUACUUUCAGCGGGGAGGCGUUACCCGCAGAAGAAGCACCGGCUAACUCCGUGCCAGCAGCCGCGGUAAUUC